GGGGAAUAUUGGACAAUGGGCGCAAGCCUGAUCCAGCCAUGCCGCGUGGGUUAAGAAGGCCUUCGGGUUGUAAAGCCCUUUUGUUGGGAAAGAAAAGCAGCCGGCCAAUACCCGGUUGUUCUGACGGUACCCAAAGAAUAAGCACCGGCUAACUUCGUGCCAGCAGCCGCGGUAAUACGAAGGGUGCAAGCGUUACUCGGAAUUACUGGGCGUAAGCGUGCGUAGGUGGUGGUUUAAGUCCGUUGUGAAAGCCCUGGGCUCAACCUGGGGACCGGCAGGGGUACUGGGUUACUUGGGGGUGGGCAGGGGGAGUGGAAAUCCCGGUGGAGCAGGUAAAUUCGGAAGGGGCCGGAGGGACAACAGGGGGGGAGGCGAACGGCCUGGGCAAACCUUACCAUGGGGGAAGAAAGCGGUGGGUGCAAAAA
rnacentral:rRNA from 1 species